AAACUGGUGCGCCACUAGCAUGCCUUUUUCUAGUAGUGUGGUGGGUGCGUUGGCCCAUCAUCUCCCCAAGUGGGAGAGUGAACGUCAUAAUUUGUGGUAGAGGGGGUACGUGUUCGCGCAGCCCCUG
rnacentral:snRNA from 1 species